UACGUAGGGAGCAAGCGUUGUCCGGAAUCAUUGGGCGUAAAGCGCGCGUAGGCGGCCCGAUAAGUCCGCUGUGAAAGUCAACGGCUCAACUGUUGAAUGCCGGUGGAUACUGUCGGGCUAGAGUACGGAAGAGGCAAGUGGAAUUCCUGGUGUAGCGGUGGAAUGCGCAGAUAUCAGGAGGAACACCGAUGGCGAAGGCAGGUCUCUGGGCCAUAACUGACGCUGAGAAGCGAAAGCAUGGGGAGCGAACAGG
rnacentral:rRNA from 1 species